GACGAACGCUGGCGGCGUGCCUAAUACAUGCAAGUAGAACGCUGAGGGAAUAGCGUGGUUCGCUGGAUGAGUAGCGAUGGGUUGCGAAAGGGGGAGGAAACCUGAGUUAUACUGGCUGGUAGCGGUGGGUAACGAUAGCUAAUAACACAUAAGAGCGGAUGUUAUAUAUCAUUGGCUGAAAAGUUGCAGUUAGAUCACUUCGAGUCGCAACUGCGUUGUAUUAGGUUGUUGGUGGGGUAACGGCUGACCAAGGCGACGAUACAUAGCCGACCUGAGAGGGUGAUCGGCCACACUGGGACUGAGACACGGCCCAGACUCCUACGGGAGGCAGCAGUAGGGAAUCUUCGGCAAUGGACGGAAGUCUGACCGAGCAACGCCGCGUGAGUGAAGAAGGUUUUCGGAUCGUAAAGCUCUGUUGUAAGAGAAGAACGAGUGUGAGAGUGGAAAGUUCACACUGUGACGGUAUCUUACCAGAAAGGGACGGCUAACUACGUG
rnacentral:rRNA from 1 species